rnacentral:tRNA from 1 species
UGGGAUGUCACUCAGUGGUAGAGCACGUGCUUGGCAUGUGUGAGGCCCUGGGUUUGAUCCCCAGUACCACAA